CUGGCGGCGUGCCUAAUACAUGCAAGUCGAACGCACUCUCGUUUAGAUUGAAGGAGCUUGCUCCUGAUUGAUAAACAUUUGAGUGAGUGGCGGACGGGUGAGUAACACGUGGGUAACCUGCCCUAAAGUGGGGGAUAACAUUUGGAAACAGAUGCUAAUACCGCAUAAACCCAACACCGCAUGGUGUAGGGUUGAAAGAUGGUUUCGGCUAUCACUUUAGGAUGGACCCGCGGUGCAUUAGUUAGUUGGUGAGGUAAAGGCUCACCAAGACCGUGAUGCAUAGCCGACCUGAGAGGUAAUCGGCCACACUGGGACUGAGACACGGCCCAGACUCCUACGGGAGGCAGCAGUAGGGAAUCUUCCACAAUGGACGAAAGUCUGAUGGAGCAACGCCGCGUGAGUGAAGAAGGUUUUCGGAUCGUAAAACUCUGUUGUUGGAGAAGAAUGUAUCUGAUAGUAACUGAUCAGGUAGUGACGGUAUCCAACCAGAAAGCCACGGCUAACUACGUG
rnacentral:rRNA from 1 species